AUGCCAUGGUGAGGAAAUUGCCUUAAUUAAUCUUUGAAUCUUUCUCAAGUAUCAAAUAAGGAUUCAUCAUCUUUUUGUCUAAAUGAAGUAAUUUCAUUCCUCAUCUU